UCGGCGGCCAUUUUAUCGCCCUGCGCGCUGCGAGCGGGAACGGAGUGGGCGGGGCUGUCAAAGGCGCGACGUUUCCAGGGAGACCGCCUAGCUGAGGCACCGCUCGGGCUGUGUUAGGGGGUGUUCGCCGCGGGGAGGCGGGCGCCUCUGGUCAGGGGCUCCGGCUCCGUCACUGCCGCCCGUCUGAUGGCCAUCACCCCUGCGGUAGCGAGUCUCUCUUCGGGCCGGAGCACCGGGGGUCGCUCUUGGUUGGCCAGUGGCCGCCCAGAGGAAAGGGCCGAGGAGCCCCCCACUCGCCGCGGGGGACGCGGGAGCCGGCGCUGUGUGGAUGCGCCAUGCGAGGAGAGCCGCGGAGGACGGGGCUGGUCGGGUACUAGCUCGGCUGGCAGCGUCCUUAGACCCGGGUAGGCUCCCUCGUAGUCCCGCUCGCUGGUCGCUGCCCCCUUCAUGUGGGACGCUUCUUCCGCCCUCUGCAGCUGCCUGCUGGUUCGCCCCUGCACAGUGGGCGCUGGUGACUGCAGCAGUCAUGGACCAGUAGCCCGAGGAAGCUUUCGUAAGCCUGUAGGAUCUGAAGACCCCAGGCAUCUCUAGAAACAAUUGGAAAAGAGGAGCCGUGUGAUGUAUCAGUUCUCCAGACUGCCAGCAAUUGAGCUGUGGACCACAGGUAAAAAUAGGCAUGAAAUACAUUCAACAGCAAACCACUGGGAGUCUGGAAGAAAUUGACAGCUCUGUAUUCCUGAAGGGCAAACCUGUACAUAGUGAGUAAUGGUCGUGAAAUGAUGAUUUGCAGGCCUCUGAACUAGGAAAGGUAGGGUUGUAAAUUAGUUCUUGUGUGUAGUGCCUUUAAAAAGUCCAUUUUCUAGUUCUCAUUAUGAAUCUCUUUAAAACUGGAUGCUUUCCAGUUUCAGAGGGUGCAUUGGUGGGUGUUCAGAAGUCAACUUGCGACAUUUUCUACAUUGAGUAGUUCAAAGUGAAAGAGAUGUAGUGUGUGAGCAUUUAGCACUAUUUGGAUGGAAAUCCUCUUUUUAGUGGGCCAGCUCUCCAUGGAAUGGUUAGUGUAAUAACCAGAAAGGGCAUUUACAACAAGUCUAUAUUUUUAAGAGGAAAAUGUACGGUACUGCGUUAAAUCUAUGGGCAUAUGCAAUGCUAUAUGUCUAAAAGCUAUUGAACAACCGACUACUUUACACGGCAUCAUCCACUGAUUGCUGCUGUGGGUUCAAGAGAACAGUCAUUCAGCUCUUAGUUAAAACCACUGCCUAGAUCUUCAAAAUGUAAAACGUGUACUAAAGGCUUCUCUAGGAGAUGAAAAAUAACAUACCAUUAUAUGACAAAGUUCACAUGUUCAGUAAAAUAUUAUUCAGUACAGGGAUGUCAGAAUUCAGCCCUACACACUUCCUAGCGAGAGGUUUGUAGCAUUAGGAAAGCAAGAUUUUUCAUACUUAAUUUGUAAAUCAUGAUACUGUAGCGGCCAGUACAGGCAGUUUUUCUACUCUGUUAAAGAACACUAUCACCAAGGCUAGUUGGCAUAUCACAAACUCAACUCCAUGGGUGAAAUCCUGGCCCCACUGAAGUCAAUGGGAGUUUGGCCGUUGUCUUACUGGGGCCAGGAUUUCACCCCAGGUGUUUGCCACAAAACCUAAAUCUGUAAUUAAUUUGUCUCUAUUUAGACUACAAGAGUCUGCUAUGACUAAUAUACUUUGGUAUCAAGGGAUAAGUGUCUGCUCUGCCUGACUCUCCUUUCUUGCUCUAGUGAACAGAGAUACCUCACACCUGCUUUUUGCUUCAAAAUAGCUUUUUAAUGAAAUAAGAGAAUAAAACAAAAUAUGCUAGCAUAAAACAGGAAAUUCAAUGGCUAAACAAGAAGUCCCGCCAUACAACUUAUAAUACAAAAAGAUUUUUCUGCUUAUCUAAAGAUAACUUAGCCAUAACAAAUGGGAAGAUGUACAAUCUAAUGAGCAGGGCAGAGGCUGGGAUGUGGGUGUCAGCUAGCUAAACUGAGUACAUGGUUCAGUGCUUUCCUUCUACUGAGGACUGAAGCAUAUGAACCUUGAGCAAUUUACCUGAAUGAAGGCAAGUUGUUAACUUUUCAAUUUUUUUUAAGAGAUAUGAAGUAUGCACUGCUGUUUUACAUAAAUUCAAUUUUGAUCCACAAAUAUAUUAGUGAAUUGAUUUACAAUGUAAUUAAUCCAACUUGAUUUAUCCUAUGAAGUGUUUCACCCAAAUAAACUUCUGCAUAAAGUGAAAAAAAUGUACUUGUUCUUUCUGCAUUGUGCACCUCAGUGAGGCACUAGUAUCCACAAGAUUAAUAACUGCACCAAAAUAUAUAUUUUUACAGAGAUUGGUUUCUUUGUGAAAUUAAGGCCAUAUUUCAGAAUUACUUGUUCUGAAUGGAAGUAAAAAUAAAAAUCCCCAGUAAUGCUUGCUCCUUACAUAUGGAUGGACACAAGUUACCUUUUGUACAACUGUUGGAACUGGGCAUGCAUUUUGAUAUUGAACAAACAAAAAUAAUUACUUCCACGCUUUGAGUUAUGUUAACUGUUUCACUGCUGUUUGAACAGAUGCAUAUUAGCUUCAGUGAGACUUUUAAUUCAGGAAGUUUCCCAUUGAAAAAAAAA